rnacentral:rRNA from 1 species
CCUACGGGAGGCAGCAGUGGGGAAUUUUGGACAAUGGGCGAAAGCCUGAUCCAGCAAUGCCGCGUGUGGGAAGAAGGCCUUCGGGUUGUAAACCACUUUUGUACGGAACGAAAAGGUCUGCUUUAAUAAAGCGGGCUCAUGACGGUACCGUAAGAAUAAGCACCGGCUAACUACGUGCCAGCAGCCGCGGUAAUACGUAGGGUGCGAGCGUUAAUCGGAAUUACUGGGCGUAAAGCGUGCGCAGGCGGUUAUAUAAGACAGUUGUGAAAUCCCCGGGCUCAACCUGGGAAUUGCAUCUGUGACUGUAUAGCUAGAGUACGGUAGAGGGGGAUGGAAUUCCGCGUGUAGCAGUGAAAUGCGUAGAUAUGCGGAGGAACACCGAUGGCGAAGGCAAUCCCCUGGACCUGUACUGACGCUCAUGCACGAAAGCGUGGGGAGCAAACAGGAUUAGAUACCCUGGUAGUCCACGCCCUAAACGAUGUCAACUGGUUGUUGGGUGCAUUAGUACUCAGUAACGAAGCUAACGCGUGAAGUUGACCGCCUGGGGAGUACGGCCGCAAGGUUGAAACUCAAAUGAAUUGACGG